AUUGAACGCUGGCGGCAUGCCUUACACAUGCAAGUCGAACGGUAACAGGUCUUCGGAUGCUGACGAGUGGCGAACGGGUGAGUAAUACAUCGGAACGUGCCCGAUCGUGGGGGAUAACGGAGCGAAAGCUUUGCUAAUACCGCAUACGAUCUACGGAUGAAAGCAGGGGACCGCAAGGCCUUGCGCGGACGGAGCGGCCGAUGGCAGAUUAGGUAGUUGGUGGGAUAAAAGCUUACCAAGCCGACGAUCUGUAACUGGUCUGAGAGGACGACCAGGCACACUGGGUCUGAGACACGGCCCAGACUCCUACGGGAGGCAGCAGUGGGGAAUUUUGGCCAAUGGGCGAAAGCCUGAUCCAGCCAUGCCGCGUGCAGGAUGAAGGCCUUCGGGUUGUAAACUGCUUUUGUACGGAACGAAAAGACUCCUUCUAAUAAAGGGGGUCCAUGACGGUACCGUAAGAAUAAGCACCGGCUAACUACGUGCCAGCCGCCGCAGUAAAAC
rnacentral:rRNA from 1 species